GGCUCAGCUAGGCGAGAAGAAGGCGAAGGAACUUCUCGAGCAUGUUGCCAUGAAUAAAGCUGUCUAUUAUAGUCCAAUGGAGAUAUUCGACAUACCGUUUCCCGACGGAGUGACCCAUGGUAGAAUUCCGGAGCAUUGUUGUUACAUGAGAAGUGCCGACAUUACCCCUUCAACAAUCCAUUACGAUAUCCCAUCUGUUGAUACCUCGAAUCGCGUAUUCCGCUACCAUCGAGAGCAUGCAGACCGCUUUCUCCGUGUUCGAUUCUGUGAUGAGAAGUACAUGGGCAGGAUAUACUCCAAUAGCAACGGUAACAACCUGUGUAUGUCGGAAGUUUACGCACGAGUCACGCGCAUAUUGCAACACGGGAUCAUAAUAGGCGAUCGGCACUACGAGUUUCUCGCAUUCGGCAAUUCCCAAUUUAGGGAACAUGGGGCAUUUUUCUUUGCUUCUCUGCCACAUCUCACGGCUGCCAACAUCCGUGCUCAGAUGGGCGAUUUGAAUAAUAUCAAAGUCGUUGCCAAAUACGCAGCGCGACUGGGACAAUGCUUUUCUACGACUCGCGCAGUCACUAGCUGUCCAGUACAAUUAAAGGAGG
rnacentral:sRNA from 1 species